UACAGAGGGGGCAAGCGUUGUUCGGAAUUACUGGGCGUAAAGGGCGCGUAAGCGGCCUGUUAAGUCGGACGUGAAAUCCCUCGGCUCAACCGGGGAACUGCGUCUGAUACUGGCGGGCUUGAAUUCGGGAGAGGGAUGUGGAAUUCCAGGUGUAGCGGUGAAAUGCGUAGAUAUCAGGAGGAACACCGGUGGCGAAGGCGGAUCUCUGGGCCUUACCUGACGCUGAGGCGCGAAAGCUAGGGGAGCGAACAGG
rnacentral:rRNA from 1 species